rnacentral:rRNA from 1 species
GACGAACGCUGGCGGCGUGCUUAACACAUGCAAGUCGAACGGACAGGCCCCUUCUUUGGUACACGAGUGGCGAACGGGUGAGUAACACGUAAGCAACCUGCCCUUAACUCUGGGAUAACAGUUGGAAACAGCUGCUAAUACUGGAUAUUCAUCAUCUCCUGCCUCGGGGGGGGCGGAAGGCUCCGGCGGUCAGGGAUGGGCUCGCAGCCUAUUCGCUUGUUGGUUAGGUAAUGGCUCACCAAGGGUUCGACGGGUAGCCCGCCGGAGAGGGCGACCGGCCACCAUGGGACUGAGAUACGGCCCAGACUCCUACGGGAGGCAGCAGUGGGGAAUAUUGCACAGUGGGCGCAAGCCUGAUGCAGCAACGCCGCGUGCGGGAUGACGGCCUUCGGGUUGUAAACCGCUUUCAGUGGGGACGAAGAGUGACUGACGGUACCUACAGAAGAAGCACCGGCUAACUACGUG